GACGAACGUUGGCGGCGUGCCUAAUACAUGCAAGUCGAGCGGACAGAAGGGAGCUUGCUCCCGGAUGUUAGCGGCGGACGGGUGAGUAACACGUGGGUAACCUGCCUGUAAGACUGGGAUAACUCCGGGAAACCGGAGCUAAUACCGGAUAGUUCCUUGAACCGCAUGGUUCAAGGAUGAAAGACGGUUUCGGCUGUCACUUACAGAUGGACCCGCGGCGCAUUAGCUAGUUGGUGGGGUAAUGGCUCACCAAGGCGACGAUGCGUAGCCGACCUGAGAGGGUGAUCGGCCACACUGGGACUGAGACACGGCCCAGACUCCUACGGGAGGCAGCAGUAGGGAAUCUUCCGCAAUGGACGAAAGUCUGACGGAGCAACGCCGCGUGAGUGAUGAAGGUUUUCGGAUCGUAAAGCUCUGUUGUUAGGGAAGAACAAGUGCGAGAGUAACUGCUCGCACCUUGACGGUACCUAACCAGAAAGCCACGGCUAACUACGUGCCAGCAGCCGCGGUAAUACGUAGGUGGCAAGCGUUGUCCGGAAUUAUUGGGCGUAAAGGGCUCGCGGGUCGGUUUCUUAAGUCUGAUGUGAAAGCCCCCGGCUCAACCGGGGAGGGUCAUUGGAAACUGGGAAACUUGAGUGCAGAAGAGGAGAGUGGAAUUCCACGUGUAGCGGUGAAAUGCGUAGAGAUGUGGAGGAACACCAGUGGCGAAGGCGACUCUCUGGUCUGUAACUGACGCUGAGGAGCGAAAGCGUGGGGAGCGAACAGGAUUAGAUACCCUGGUAGUCCACGCCGUAAACGAUGAGUGCUAAGUGUUAGGGGGUUUCCGCCCCUUAGUGCUGCAGCUAACGCAUUAAGCACUCCGCCUGGGGAGUACGGUCGCAAGACUGAAACUCAAAGGAAUUGACGGGGGCCCGCACAAGCGGUGGAGCAUGUGGUUUAAUUCGAAGCAACGCGAAGAACCUUACCAGGUCUUGACAUCCUCUGACAACCCUAGAGAUAGGGCUUUCCCUUCGGGGACAGAGUGACAGGUGGUGCAUGGUUGUCGUCAGCUCGUGUCGUGAGAUGUUGGGUUAAGUCCCGCAACGAGCGCAACCCUUGAUCUUAGUUGCCAGCAUUCAGUUGGGCACUCUAAGGUGACUGCCGGUGACAAACCGGAGGAAGGUGGGGAUGACGUCAAAUCAUCAUGCCCCUUAUGACCUGGGCUACACACGUGCUACAAUGGACAGAACAAAGGGCUGCAAGACCGCAAGGUUUAGCCAAUCCCAUAAAUCUGUUCUCAGUUCGGAUCGCAGUCUGCAACUCGACUGCGUGAAGCUGGAAUCGCUAGUAAUCGCGGACCAGCAUGCCGCGGUGAAUACGUUCCCGGGCCU
rnacentral:rRNA from 1 species